GUGGCUGUGGCUCAGUGGUACAGCGCUUGCCUAGCAUGUGCGAGGCCCUGGGUUUGAUCCUCAGCACUACA
rnacentral:tRNA from 1 species